AGAGUUUGAUCAUGGCUCAGGACGAACGUNGGCGGCGUGCUUAACACAUGCAAGUCAAGGGGAAAGGUUGUCUUCGGACGGCCGAGUAUACUGGCGAACGGGUGAGUAACGCGUAGGUAACUUGCCUAUCAGUCUGGGAUAACACUGCUAACGCGGUGCUAAUACCGGGUAUACUGCAUAGAUCGCAUGUUUUUUGCAGGAAAGCGGGCCUCUGGAACAAGCUCGUGCUGAUAGAUAGACCUGCGUCCCAUUAGUUAGUUGGUAGGGUAACGGCCUACCAAGGCAGCGAUGGGUAGCCGGCCUGAGAGGGUGACCGGCCACACUGGGACUGAGAUACGGCCCAGACUCCUACGGGAGGCAGCAGUGAGGAAUAUUGCGCAAUGGACGAAAGUCUGACGCAGCAACGCCGCGUGAGGGAUGAAGCUUUUCGGAGUGUAAACCUCUGUUAGGAGGGAAGAACGUCUAUUAUUCGAACAGGGUGAUAGAGUGACGGUACCUCCAGAGAAAGCCCCGGCUAACUCCGUGCCAGCAGCCGCGGUAAUACGGGGGGGGCGAACGUUGUCCGGAAUUAUUGGGCGUAAAGGGCGCGUAGGCGGGAAGGUCAGUCAGAGGUGAAAGCUUGUGGCUUAACUGCAAGUUUGCCUUUGAUACUGCC
rnacentral:rRNA from 1 species